GCGGGCAUUACUUAUUUGCCUUUACAUGAACGUGAAACGAGCGAAGAAGCUCGUACGCAUGAAGUUGCAGUAGUGGCGAUAGAAAACUUGACUGGCCCAGCAUCUAAUGAAGUCAACAAUCAAGAGCAAGAUUCUCAACAGACUGUGCAAUCUGCAAGCAAUGUAGUAGAGGACAACGAAACUGUACAACAGGACAAUGAUCCUUUAGCUGAGGAAAAUAAUUCGAAAGUUCCAGCAUUUGAAGAUCUAAUUACACCUUUUCCUGGACCAAAAAUAUAUUACAAUGAUACCACAGCCUGGGUUGUAAUCAAUGAGAUUGAUCAACUGACGAUUCAUGUUGCAUC